AUUGAACGCUGGCGGCAUGCCUUACACAUGCAAGUCGAACGGCAGCGCGGACUUCGGUCUGGCGGCGAGUGGCGAACGGGUGAGUAAUACAUCGGAACGUACCCUGUUGUGGGGGAUAACUAGUCGAAAGAUUAGCUAAUACCGCAUACGACCUGAGGGUGAAAGUGGGGGAUCGCAAGGCCUCACGCAGCAGGAGCGGCCGAUGUCUGAUUAGCUAGUUGGUGGGGUAAAGGCCCACCAAGGCGACGAUCAGUAGCUGGUCUGAGAGGACGAUCAGCCACACUGGGACUGAGACACGGCCCAGACUCCUACGAGAGGCAGCAGUGGGGAAUUUUGGACAAUGGGGGCAACCCUGAUCCAGCAAUGCCGCGUGUGUGAAGAAGGCCUUCGGGUUGUAAAGCACUUUUGUCCGGAAAGAAAUCGCGCUGGUUAAUACCUGGCGUGGAUGACGGUACCGGAAGAAUAAGCACCGGCUAACUACGUG
rnacentral:rRNA from 1 species